rnacentral:misc_RNA from 1 species
GCAACUCUGAUUGGAAAAUCCCGAUAAGAGUGUAACUGCCUCUUAUAGAUCAAUACAUGAUAAGGGCAGUUCAUUGGCCGAAGCUGAAAAAGCUCUUCCUCAAUCUCCAUCUGAUCAAACAUAUUCUCUUUGUAGAAGUCCAGAUGACCACUAAUCUUCCAAAGAUCUGCCUUCGCUACAUGGGGAGUAUAGAGCAAAUCGUAGCCCCGCUCCAUAUGAAUCUUUUUCCAAGUAUCUUCUAUUAUGUGCCUAAUGAUAGCUCCCUUGGGAUGCCAGAAGACUAAGCCUCCACCAGCUUCAUCCUGUAUGGAGAAGAGAUCAAGAUCUUGGCCAAUUCUCCGGUGAUCACGCCGUUUAGCUUCUUCUUUGAAAUGAAGGUAUGCUUUUAAUUGGUCCUCAUUCUCCCAUGCAGUGCCAUAAAUCCUUUGGAGCAUUGGUUUCUUUACAU